UACGAGGGGGCAAGCGUUGUUCGGAAUUAUUGGGCGUAAAGGGCGCGUAGGCGGUGCGGUAAGUCACCUGUGAAACCUCUAGGCUCAACCUAGAGCCUGCAGGCGAAACUGCCGUGCUUGAGGGUGGGAGAGGUGCGUGGAAUUCCCGGUGUAGCGGUGAAUGCGUAGAUAUCGGAGGAACACCUGUGGCGAAAGCGGCGCACUGGACCACAUCUGACGCUGAGGCGCGAAAGCUAGGGGAGCAAACAGG
rnacentral:rRNA from 1 species